rnacentral:rRNA from 1 species
AGAGGGUUCGAUUAUGGCUCAGAUUGAACGCUGGCGGGAUGCUUUAUUAUUGAUGCAGUCGAACAGGCAGCACGACUUCGGUCUGGUGAGUGGCGAACGGGGUAGUAAUGUAUCGGAACGUGCCUAGCGGCAGGGAUAACUACGCGAAAGGUAGCCAAUACCGCAUACGCCCUUCGGGGGAAAGCGGGGGACCUUCGGGCCUCGCACUAUUAGAGCGGCCGAUAUCGGAUUAGCUAGUUGGUGGGGUAACGGCUCACCAAGGCGACGAUCCGUAGCUGGUUUGAGAGGACGACUUUAAGGCCACACUGGGAUCGAGACACGGCCCACUCCACGGGAGGCAGCAGUGGGGAAUUUUGGACAAUGGGGGAAACCCUGAUCCGUGCCAUCCCGGCGGUGCAGAUGAAGGCCUUCGGGUUGUAAAGCACUUUUGGCAGGAAGAAACGGCACGGGAUAAUACCCCGUGCAACUGGACGCACCUGCAGAAUAAGCACCGGCUAACCACGCCAGCAGCCGGUAAUACGUAGGGUGCAAGCGUUAAUCGGAAUUACUGGGCGUAAAGCGCGUUAAAGCGGUUCGGAAAGAAAAGAUGUGAAAUCCCAGAGCUUAACUUUGAACUGCAUUUUUAACUACCGAGCUAGAGUGUCAGAGGAGGCGGAAUUCCGCGUGUAGCAGUGAAAUGCGUAGAUAUGGUGAUAACACUGAUGGCGAAGGCAGCCUCUGGGAUAACACUGACGCUCAUGCACGAAAGCGUGGGAGCAAACAGGAUUAGAUACCCUGGUAGUCCACGCCUCUAAACGAUGUCAACUAGCUGUUGGGGCCUUCGGGCCUUGGUAGCGCAGCUAACGCGUGAAGUUGACCCCGCCUGGGGAGUACGUAUCGUAAGAUUAAACUCAAAUGUUGAACGAUUUGGGACCCGCACAAGCGGUGGAUGAUGAUUAAUUCGAUGCACUGUUAAAACCUUACCUACCCUUGACAUGUCUGAAUCCCGAAGAGAUUUGGGAGUGCUCGCAAGAGAACUUAACGAUAAAAGGCAUGGCUGUCGUCAGCUCGUGUCGUGAGAUGUUGGGUUAAGUCCCGCAACGAGCGCACCUUGUCAUUAGUUGCUACGAAAGGGCACUCUAAUGAGACUGCCGGUGACAAACCGGAGGAAGGUGGGGAUGUCAAGUCCUCAUGGCCCUUAUGGGUAGGGUCAGACGUCAUACAAUGGUCGGGACAGAGGUCGCCAACCCGCGAGGUUUAACCCCAGAAACCGAUCGUAGUCCGGAUCGCAGUCUGCAACCGACUGCGCGGAAGUCGGAAUCGCUAGUAAUCGCGGAUCAGCAUGUCGCGGUGAAUACGUUCCCGGGUCUUGUACACACCGCCCGUCACACCAUGGGAGUGGGUUUUACCAGAAGUAGUUAGCCUAACCGUAUGAGGGCGAUUACCACGGUAGGAUUCAUGACUGGGGUGAAGUCGUAACAAGGUAG